rnacentral:rRNA from 1 species
GACGAACGCUGGCGGCGUGCUUAACACAUGCAAGUCGAACGAUGAACCACUUCGGUGGGGAUUAGUGGCGAACGGGUGAGUAACACGUGGGCAAUCUGCCCUUCACUCUGGGACAAGCCCUGGAAACGGGGUCUAAUACCGGAUAACACUGCCACGGGCAUCUGUGGUGGUUAAAAGCUCCGGCGGUGAAGGAUGAGCCCGCGGCCUAUCAGCUUGUUGGUGAGGUAAUGGCNCACCAAGGCGACGACGGGUAGCCGGCCUGAGAGGGCGACCGGCCACACUGGGACUGAGACACGGCCCAGACUCCUACGGGAGGCAGCAGUGGGGAAUAUUGCACAAUGGGCGAAAGCCUGAUGCAGCGACGCCGCGUG